CAUGAAGUCGGAAUCGCUAGUAAUCGUAGAUCAGAAUGCUACGGUGAAUACGUUCCCGGGCCUUGUACACACCGCCCGUCACACCAUGGGAGUGGGUUGCAAAAGAAGUAGGUAGCUUAACCUUCGGGAGGGCGCUUACCACUUUGUGAUUCAUGACUGGGGUGAAGUCGUAACAAGGUAACCGUAGGGGAACCUGCGGUUGGAUCACCUCCUUA
rnacentral:rRNA from 1 species